UUACGGCCACAUCACAUUGAAACAGCGGUCCCCGUCCAAUCACUGGAGUUAAGCAACGUCGAGUCUUGUUAGUACCUAGAUGGGUGACCGCUUGAGAAUACCAGGUGCUGUAAG